GAGGAAGAGAGGGGAAAAUUGCAUGAAGAGAAAGACAACAAAAUGACACUCUCAAAUGUGUGUAUACAACAU